rnacentral:tRNA from 1 species
GGGCCCUUAGCUUAGUCUGGUUAAAGCCCCCGGCUCAUAGUGGGCGCGAUGGUUCCGUCGCGGGCAUGGGAUACCGGGUGAUCGCUGGUUCGAAUCCGGCAGGGCCCA